ACGCUGGCGGCGUGCUUAAUACAUGCAAGUCGAACGAUGAAGCCUAGCUUGCUAGGUGGAUUAGUGGCGAACGGGUGAGUAAUACGUGAGUAACCUACCUUUAACUCUGGGAUAAGCCUGGGAAACUGGGUCUAAUACCGGAUACGACCAAUCUCCGCAUGGGGUGUUGGUGGAAAGCGUUAUGUAGUGGUUAUAGAUGGGCUCACGGCCUAUCAGCUUGUUGGUGAGGUAACGGCUCACCAAGGCGACGACGGGUAGCCGGCCUGAGAGGGUGACCGGCCACACUGGGACUGAGACACGGCCCAGACUCCUACGGGAGGCAGCAGUGGGGAAUAUUGCACAAUGGGCGCAAGCCUGAUGCAGCGACGCCGCGUGAGGGAUGACGGCCUUCGGGUUGUAAACCUCUGUUAGCAGGGAAGAAGAGAAAUUGACGGUACCUGCAGAGAAAGCGCCGGCUAACUACGUGCCAGCAGCCGCGGUAAUACGUAGGGCGCGAGCGUUGUCCGGAAUUAUUGGGCGUAAAGAGCUUGUAGGCGGUUUGUCGCGUCUGCUGUGAAAGGCCGGGGCUUAACCCCGUGUAUUGCAGUGGGUACGGGCAGACUAGAGUGCAGUAGGGGAGACUGGAACUCCUGGUGUAGCGGUGGAAUGCGCAGAUAUCAGGAAGAACACCGAUGGCGAAGGCAGGUCUCUGGGCUGUAACUGACGCUGAGAAGCGAAAGCAUGGGGAGCGAACAGGAUUAGAUACCCUGGUAGUCCAUGCCGUAAACGUUGGGCACUAGGUGUGGGGGACAUUCCACGUUUUCCGCGCCGUAGCUAACGCAUUAAGUGCCCCGCCUGGGGAGUACGGCCGCAAGGCUAAAACUCAAAGAAAUUGACGGGGGCCCGCACAAGCGGCGGAGCAUGCGGAUUAAUUCGAUGCAACGCGAAGAA
rnacentral:rRNA from 1 species